CCUGCAAGUUGUAGAAAGCUGUCCGGGUCAUUCUCCGACGUUAAUGUGUGGCUCUCCCCCCUGAUUUCUGUUAAGAGGGGCCCUUCCAUUCCUCAGCGGUAACGUAUAUUAGCGUCUCUUAGUUUCUUGGCUAUAGGUGCCAGUUUUCUUUUUUCUGUGAGGGCGGAGAAUGGUGUAUCUGGGUAUAUAGCUACCCUGUGCCCCUCAUUAGGUAUUGUCCCCAAUUCUCUAGUUUGGGUCAUUAUGGCAGAUCUCACGGA